rnacentral:rRNA from 1 species
AUUGAACGCUGGCGGCAGGCCUAACACAUGCAAGUCGAGCGGAGCGGCGGACGGGUGAGUAAUGCCUAGGAAUCUGCCUGGUAGUGGGGGAUAACGUCCGGGAACGGGCGCUAAUACCGCACACUAUCAGAUGAGCCCUGGUCGGAGUAGCUAGGUGGUGGGGUAAAGGCCUACCAAUGCGACGAACCGUAACUGGUCUGAGAGGAUGAUCAGUCACACUGGAACUGAGACACGGUCCAGACUCCUACGGGAGGCAGCAGGGGGGAAGAUUGGGCAAUGGGCGAAAGCCUGAAGCAGCCAUGCCGCGUGUGUGAAGAAGGUCUUCGGAUUGUAAAGCACUUUAAGUUGGGAGGCGUUACCAACAGAAUAAGCACCGGCUAACUUCGAGCCAGCAGCCGCGGUAAUUC